GCCCGAGUGGCGGAAUUGGUAGACGCAAGGGACUUAAAAUCCCUCGGCCGCAAGGCCGUGCCGGUUCGAGUCCGGCCCCGGGCACCA
rnacentral:tRNA from 1 species